ACAAACUGUGGAUAGUUUCUUCUGGAGUGAUUCCUAAACUGUACUAAACUGGCUGAGAGCCCCGGCAUACACUUGGGCUACCUUUCUCGCUAAUAGAGUACCCACUUGGCAGAAAUCGCAUGAGAGGGGGGAAAUUUCUUCAUUCUCGCUACCCCUGACCCUCACUUUCGAGCGAUCGUACGACAAACUCUCACUCCACCACCCUACACACGCUCCUAUAUUCUAUGUAAACCCUCACCGCAACCUGCGUCACCAACCCACCCCACACCUGAACGGUCCCAUACUCGAAGUGUUAGACAAUUUUGGUUCCACACUUUGAAGCCUGUCGAGGAGUGUGGCACUAUAUUGUUUUUCCCUGUCUCCUUUCUUUCACUGCAAAAUUGCUUUUGCCCUGUCUUUGGCGUAUUCAUAUGAGUUUGGCCUUUGCUGGAGGCGGAGGUGUGUGCGCAAGCGUUAUCGUGUUUUGUGAAGUGAUUCUUUGCUCCGUGAAUCCCAUCGAGUCGAUCAGCUGAUGGAAAGAGUUUGGCCGUGAAGCGGAAAGGGUGAAGCCGGAGUUAAACCGCAGGAUGGCAGGACAAAUCACAUCGGAGAGAGUGCUGAAUAUUCGACGUCUUGAGAGAAACCUCUGCCGAACAUAGGAACCCCAUCCCACCGUCCGCUUCGCAGAACGCCGGCAGUUUUUUUUACCUGUUCGUCGCAUGAUGAGCGUAUGUGCAAUAAAAAAAGGGAUCGUAUGUAUUUCCUGGUAA